ACAAGUCAUCUUCCUUCUUCUCCAGGCCGAUACCCAUUUCUCCAUUUCUCUUCUUCUUCCUUUCAUCUUCAAGCUCAAGAAACCAAGGCUUUUCCUUUUUCCUCUCCAAACCGUGUGACCCCAAGGAAAGAAAGGAACAGUUUCCUUCCUCCUCAAGCCAUGCCAUACCCCUUCUUCCAUACCCAUUUUUGGGUUUGCUCAUAGCUUGGAAUCCAAAGCUUAUUUUCAUCUUCUAAAAGAUGAAAUCUUGAAGUUUUGGGUUUCCAGCCAAGGGUUAGUGUUCUCUCUAGUCUCCUAAGCUGAACACACCUCUCCUCUUCAUCAUUUUCAUGCUUUGGGAAGAAUUCACCAAAGGUAUUGAUGGAGAGGUUGAGGAGCCGGGCACUACUUAGGAGGGAGGGGCCGAUGCUUAGUAGUCCCUUGUUGGUUUGGUUCUUUUGGUGAUGGCUUAUGAUUUAUAUGUUUUGAGGAUGGGUCCCAUGUGGGGACGUUUAUUUGAGUUAACCUUUAAACAAUGUACCUUCGGGUACAAUGUAAAUUUUAUGAUAGGGUGAUGGUAACCCCUCAUACUUUAACUUAACUUCCUUUUUGUAUGAAUUAUAGGGACUGAGUCCCUUUUUACUUAAAAUUGGUUAUGUUAGAUG